CGCCCGGGAUUGUGAGCAGAGCAGCCCGAGCCCUCACGGAAACCAAGAGAGCGUUCCGAGCUCCUCCCAGCGAGCACCAGGGCUCUGGAGGAGCUGGGUCUGAGAGGGGAGCCCCUCAAUCUGUACAGAUACCUCCAAGGGCUGGCAGAAAAUGUUGCCUUUGUAGCGGUGCCAAGGAGAAAUGGCCAUAAACAAAACCAAAAAAAAUCCCACCUGAACUUGAUGAAUAAUUUUCCAUUAGGGGUGGCAGAUCACUGUUACAGCUGCCCAGGACAUGGGCAGUCUGUCUCUGGGGACAUUUCAACCGCACCUGCACACUCGGUGUCACCUGCUGCAGGUGACCUGCCUCAGCAGCGGGGGCACAGGGGAUGAUCUCCAGACAGCCCUUCCAACACCCCCCAUUCUCUUAUCCAAAACGAGACAUUUGGUUACAAACCAGGUACCAAAACAGGUUUUAUUUCACAGCAUCUUAAUUUCACAGAAGAAAAAACGAACAAAAAAAAAACCUCAAAACAAACAGGCUACAACUGAGACUUUUAAAUAAUGGAAUAUGACAAAACUAGAAGAGUUUUUGUUUACAGGAAAAUGUACAGGCUCUUCUCAAGAGAGUUCUCCGUGCUGAGCCACCCCAGCAGCACCUUCACAAAGCACAGACCCUGCUGUGGUGUAAACCUUCAGAGCAAGAGGAGUUCGGCUGUGCAGACGUGAACAGCUCUGGCUCCGGCUCCGGGUCCCGCGCCGAGUUUGAACACACACGGAAACAAAAGCUUGCCGGUUUUAUGACGUAAACCCACGGAUUCUGGGAGUGUAAUUACAGCCCAAAUGGCCACCUGAACUAGACAAACUUCCACUGAAUACAGACUGCAAAGUGUUGCAAACCAAAGUGCCUUUUGUUCCUUGGAUGGUGAGAAAGGAAAGUUAACUUUGUUACAGAAAACUCUUUAUACACUAAAUAAAGAAGUUCCCAGAGAAAGACACCUUCAGAUCUCAUUCAUACUAAUCAAGCUGUUCUGUGAGAAAUUUCUUUGCUCUGUUGUACCUCUGGCCCCUCCACAAUGCCUUGGGAAGUGGUGGACCACCUGAGCUGUCUGCACCACUGUUUGCUAAUUGGAGGCUCAUUACACACUAGAUGUUUAGUACAUCACUAUUUCUGCAUGCAAGGACAGUUAUAUUCAGUAGAAAGUUUAACUAGUAGGCAAUUUUUUAAAACAUUCUGGAAGAUAUCUGGCAAGCUUAUUGUCUAAACUAUUAGCUACAUCUCACUUCUGGAGACUGGAAAGUCCUUCUGUGUUAAGAGAAAUCACAAGCAUAUUAAAUUUCACACAAAUAAUUUGAAGCUACAUACAGCUGAACACAGUUACAAAAAGUUUGAUAGUCACUGUAAUUAUUAUAUAUGAAAAAUACACUUUGAGCCCCACUCUGAGAGGAAGGGGCUCCAGUAAAGGUUGCUGCAAUUCUAAUGAAGCCAAAUUAGCUUCAGACAAAACACAGCUGAAGAGCAAGGAUUCAGCUUUGGUUUUGGCUACCACCAAUAUUUAAUACAAGGAACAGGAAUUUACAUUACUUACAUGUUGGAUAGCAAGUCCCUGACCUCAGCAUGAGGUCUGGCAGUUUAUGAGUCAAACCUCAAUUACAACUUCCUCAGCUGGAAUAACCAAGUAUCAGUUUUGUUCCUUGCAAAGGGACCCAGUAACUUGUAUCAUAAUAUUGCUUCAGAAAAUGAACCCAUGAGCCAAUACCACAGAAGGUUCCACGGAUAAUCAAGAAUUCAUUCCCAACCUGGAUACUGUAAAAAUAAAGGAAGGAAUGAGCCAACAGGAAGAGAAGUUAUUUGAGCUCUGUGUAUGCACUAGAGAGCUGCUGGGCACCAGCCAGUAGUGGCUGCUCAGAUGUGCAAGAAAUGCCAGUUUUAUGAGGACCAUCACAGUGAUGCAACGCUUGGAAGAACAGAGAGUAAAAAAAGUAGCAUUUUAAAUACCGAGCAUGCUUUGUUUCAUUGGCCUCGGUUGGCAGCAGUAACUCUACUGGCUUCAUAUUUGCUCAGAUAAGACCAUCUAAAAUACAGUCAAUCCUAAAAAAGGUGCUUAUUUCAGGCUACAGAACAGAGA